rnacentral:lncRNA from 1 species
CUUACCGUGAACAAAGUAAAAAAACAACACAAAAAUAACCAAAUAAAAAGAAAUUUCUCAGUAUGUAGCUUUGUAUUCUGGCAAAAUACACUCCCUACAUUAAUUUUGUCUAAAAAUGUCUAUCUGUUUUUGCAUUUUAAGUUCAUCACCUCUCUCCCAGAGGUGAAUGUUAUAUUUCAUCUUCAGUCUUUCGGACUCAUUUUUCAUCAUGACAUUGGCAAGAGUUCUAAAGUAUUUCAAAGUUGAUUUUCUCUAUUAUGUUAUCAUUAUAUAAACUAUUUACUGUAUUCUGCUUUUGUUCACAGAGUUUUAUCCAAUUCCUUGGCCAUUCCUUAUAGUCCAAUUACAAAAUAUUACCUAUACAUAUUACAAUUUGUUUAGUCAUUCAUUCCCCAUUGGAAGGACAGCCCCUGGAUUCCAACUUUUGGCCACUACAAAAAGCUGCUGUGAACAUUUUUGUACAUAUAAAUCUUUUCCUUCUUUUUUUGAUUUCUUUGGGGAUACAGGCAACUUCUUUCUUUUUCUUCAUUUUGGGUUAUGGACCCCUUUGACAAUCUGAUAAAUAAAGCCUAUGACCCCUUUCUCAGAAUAAUGUUUUUAAAUACAUAAAAUAAAAUGCAUAGGAUUUCAAAGGAAAUCAAUUAAAAGGAGGCUAAUUACACUGGCACACAAUUAUCAAAAAAGACAAACUUGUACCCUUCCAACACAAAGAAGUCUUAAUUGUUAGCAAGAAUAUUAAGAUGGAUAUGAUUCUAGCUAGUUGUAGUAUAGUUUCUGGGUAAUUUAAUCAUUUAAACAAGCACAUUCAUUCAUUCAUUUAUUUUUGCUUUUGUUUUCUUUUUUUUUCUUUAUUAAAGCUUUUUAUUUAGAAAGCAUAUGCAUGGAUACUUUUUCCAACAUUGACCCUUGCAUAACUUUUUGUUGUAAAUUUUCCCCUUCUUCCCCCUCUCCCUCCCCCAUCUGGCAGGUAGUCCAAUACAUGUUAAAUAUGUUGAAAUACAUGUUAGAUCCAAUAGAUGUAUACAUAUUUAUACAGUUAUCUGGUUGCACAAGAAAAAUCAGAUCAAGAAGGAAGAAAAAGAAAAACAGGAAAAAAACUGCAAGCAAAUAACAGAAAGAGUGAGAAUGCUAUGUUGUGUUCCACACUCUGUUCCCAUGGUUCUCUUUCUGGGUGUAGAUGGUUCUCUUCACUGCACAAGUGGAACUGGUUUGAAUCAUCUCAUUGUUGAAGAGAGCUGUAUCCAUCAGAAUUGAUCAUCAUAUAGUCUUGUUGCUGUGUACGACGAUCUCUUGCUUCUGCUCAUUUCACUCAGCAUCAUUUUAUAUAGGUCUCUCCAAGCCUCUCUGAAAUCAUUUUGCUGGUCAUUUCUUCCAGAACAAUAAUAUUCCAUAAUAUUCAUAUACCACAAUUUAUUCAGCCAUUCUCCAAUUGAUGGGCAUCCACUCAGUUUCCAGUUUCUGGCCACUACAAACAGGGCUGCCACAAAUAUUCUUGUACACACAGGUCCCUUUCCCUCCUUUAGGAUCUCUUUGGGAUAUAAACCCAGUAGUAACACUGCUGGAUCAAAGGAUAUGCACAGUUUGAUAUCUUUUUGAGCAUAGUUCCAAAUUGCUCUCCAGAAUGGCUGGAUGUAUUCACAAUUCCACCAAUAAUGUAUCAGUGUCCCUGUUUUCCCACACCCCUUCCAACAUUCAUCAUUAUCUUU